rnacentral:rRNA from 1 species
GUUUGAUCCUGGCUCAGAACGAACGCUGGCGGCAGGCCUAACACAUGCAAGUCGAGCGCUGUAGCGAUACAGAGCGGCGCACGGGGGAGUAACACGUGGGAACGUGCCCUUUGGUUCGGAAUAACUCAGGGAAACUUGAGCUAAUACCGGAUGAGCCCUAACGGGGAAAGAUUUAUCGCCGAAGGAGCGGCCCGCGUUGGAUUAGCUAGUUGGUGGGGUAAAAGCCUACCAAGGCGACGAUCCAUAGCUGGUUUGAGAGAACGACCAGCCACACUGGGACUGAGACACGGCCCAAACUCCUACGGGAGGCAGCAGUGGGGAAUCUUGGACAAUGGGGGAAACCCUGAUCCGGCCAUGCCGCGUGAGUGAUGAAGGCCCUAGGGUUGUAAAACUCUUUCGGCGGGGACGAUAAUGACGGUACCCGCAGAAAAAGCUCCGGCUAACUUCGUGCCCGCCGCCGCGGAAAUACCAAGGGGGCUAGCGUUGUUCGGAAUUACUGGGCGUAAAGCGCGCGCAGGCGGUCCUUCAAGUCAGAGGUGAAAGCCCAGAGCUCAACUCUGGAACGGCCUUUGAGACUAGAGGACUAGGGUACGGGAGAGGUGAGUGGAAUUCCGAGUGUAGAGGUGAAAUUCGUAGAUAUUCGGAAGAACACCAGUGGCGAAGGCGGCUCACUGGCCCGUUACCGACGCUCAGGCGCGACAGCGUGGGGGAGCAAACAGGAUUAGAUACCCUGGUAGUCCACGCCGUAAACGAUGGAUGCUAGCCGUUGGUAAGCAUGCUUAUCAGUGGCGCACCUAACGCAUGACCAGUCCCGCCUGGGGAGUAUGGCCGCAUGGUUGACACUCAAAAGAAUU